GAUGAACGCCGGCGGCGUGCCUAAUACAUGCAAGUCGAGCGAACAGACGAGGAGCUUGCUCCUCUGACGUUAGCGGCGGACGGGUGAGUAACACGUGGAUAACCUACCUAUAAGACUGGGAUAACUUCGGGAAACCGGAGCUAAUACCGGAUAAUAUAUUGAACCGCAUGGUUCAAUAGUGAAAGUCGGUUUUGCUGUCACUUAUAGAUGGAUCCGCGCCGCAUUAGCUAGUUGGUAAGGUAACGGCUUACCAAGGCAACGAUGCGUAGCCGACCUGAGAGGGUGAUCGGCCACACUGGAACUGAGACACGGUCCAGACUCCUACGGGAGGCAGCAGUAGGGAAUCUUCCGCAAUGGGCGAAAGCCUGACGGAGCAACGCCGCGUGAGUGAUGAAGGUCUUCGGAUCGUAAAACUCUGUUAUUAGGGAAGAACAAAUGUGUAAGUAACUAUGCACGUCUUGACGGUACCUAAUCAGAAAGCCACGGCUAACUACGUG
rnacentral:rRNA from 1 species